GGACUGGUAGACAAGCGGAAAGUCUCCGAUUGAACAGAUGUAUCAAUCAUGCGUACAUGGUUUAACCAUUACGAGGUCAAGCACACUGGGUAUCGCAGGUUCAAAUCCUGCCCAGUCCA
rnacentral:tRNA from 1 species